UAUUGUAUUGAAUGAACUAACGGAUGCGAUCAUACUAGCACUAAUGCACCAGAUCCCAUAAAAACUUCGC
rnacentral:sRNA from 1 species